CAGUCAUUUUGUUAACAUUAGUUAGCAAUUGUGCUAGCUUUAGUUAGCAACUUCCUUCAAACUGCACACAAGACACGUAAAUGGUAUCCAGGAGAUAAAGGGCUUCAUUGCCAAAAUCACAAAGUAUCCCUUUAACAUCCCGAAGUAUCCCUUUUAAAAUGAAAAUAUUGAGAAAAGAGGAUGUACUAGUGUGAACUGUAAAGAUGUAAGGGGAGACCAACAGUUGUCAUGCCGUUGGCCUUUUGUAAAUCUGAUGGGCCACUGAAUUCACCGAUGUCAGGCCACUCGUUGGCCUUUUGUAAAUCUGAUGGGCCACUGAAUUCACCGAUGUCAGGCCACUCGUUGGCCGCUGUAAGCUUACUAACUGUGCCCCAUAAAAUAAUGUGAGGACGACCUAAUUAAGAUGUAUUGUUCAACUGCCAUAUACAGUAUGUGAACACGUAUGUUCUGAUACGUAAACCUGUGAAAGUGAAUGAUAAUCCAGUCUUCCUAUAAAGUAGGGUCGUGUUCAUUAGGCACGAAACAUGAGAAAGCGAACUGAAAAAGGGAGGGACUAGUUUGACGUGUCAAAUAGGAAACAUUCACAUUCAUUUUCCAUUGUAAAUGAUUUUAAAACGUUUUCCGUUGUUCGUCCAAAUGAACAAAGCCAAGAUGUUUUGAUGUUGAGUAGUCUAGGUUCCCGGUUUGUUUCUGCGUCAGUCAAACUGUCCUUGUCUUACCUUAGUUGGCAAGGCAACAGUGAAGCAUUCUAUUGAACAAAGAAACAGGUACUCUGGCUUGUGUUCCUUAGGCACCAAACGGAAGAAAACGGACUGAAACAGGGAUGGGCUAUCUUAGAAAUGCUUGUUUUUUGUUGUCCUUAGCAAAACGUUUUGCCCUAAUGAGUAGGACCCAGGCUAAGGUUGUUGAGUCUAAGUGCUGAAAGACUUUCUUCCCUAAGGUAGUUUACAAGAGUUAACCAACUCACCUCUGCUGCAACAAGAAAAAGAGGAUCUUAUGACUUAAAGAUGGAAUCCGCAGUAGGCGGGAACAGCGUCAUGGCCGCCCUACGACUGUUAUUGUUUUUGUGGCCGAGCUGAGGAGCGUGACCUCGUGGCCGAGCUGAGGAGCGUGACGUCGUGGCCGAGCUGAGGAGCGUGACGUCGUGGCCGAGCUGAGAAGCGUGACGUCGUGGCCGAGCUGAGGAGCGUGACGUCGUGGCCGAGCUGAGGAGCGUGACGUCGUGGCCGAGCUGAGGAGCGUGACGUCGUGGCCGAGCUGAGGAGCGUGAUGUCGUGGCCGAGCUGAGGAGCGUGACGCAGCAUGUUAUGCCUGGUCCAUGGGGAUAGGCUUCAACUGAGGCUUCAAAAGGCUUCAAAAGAGUCCAUGUUGUCCCUCAGUCCCAGUAAACACCAUGGACACAGUUCAUCUGAGUCAACAUUGGAGGAGUACAACACCAGGGUCACCGUCGCCAGUGAUGAAUCAGAUGGCAACAGAGAAGGAGAUUCUUAUGAGACUUGACAAAGAGGACAUCAUUGACAAGAUGGCGGAGAGCAGUGAGUUACUGCGCCGCCUACUGGUUUACUAGUGGUAAUUACUUCCUGGUUACUCUGAAGUAGCUAUGCGAUGACUCUUCCUUAACAGGCUGACAAGGGUGAAAGAACAUUUGCUGUGAGUUAAAGCUUUUGUACAGAGGCAUGUUUUGUGGACUUUCGUAUUAUACUUGCAGUUAUGUAGCCAAUGUUCAAUUUCAUUGACUCAGUGUGUAGAUGUGUUUAUUGUUGUGCCAUUUGCUUUAUGGACACCAGUGAGUGAACAUUGUAAUCUACAUUUUUUUGUAGAGGAGUGCUUUUUCGACUUUUGUAUUARACUUACUUACAUUGUUGUAGCUUAUGUUCACGUUCAGUGAAUGUGUGCGUGUGUGAAGUUUUUUGAUACUUUUGAUAUG